AAUCACCCUCGGAUUCAAGCCUAAGAAUUCCAAAACUUCCGAAAUCCGAAUUCGAUCAAAAAGUCGACCAAACGACGUUCAAAUGACCUGAAAUUUUGCACACACAUCACAAAUGACAUAACGAAGCUACAGCAACUCUCAGAAUUCUAUUUCAACCCUCGGAUCAAAAUCUCAUCUAUCAACCGUAAUUCGCCAAAAUAUUAACUUUGUCAAUUCAAGCCAAAUCCUUCCACGGACUUCCAAAAUGCAUUCCGAUCGCGCUCCUAAGUCAUAAAUCACCCAACGAAGCUAUCCAAAUCAUAAAUUUUUUUAUCCGAGCUCAUAUACAAAUAAGUCAACUCUUAGUCAAACCUUUCAAAUUCAAAGCUUUCAACUGAGACUGUUCCUUCAAAUUCAUUCUGAUUUUUCCUGAAAACCAAAACAAACGAUCUACAUCAGUCAUAAUACGUUAUACGGGGAAAGUCAUGCCCGGAAACUGGCAAUUAAAGUGCAAAAGUUCAAAACGAUUGGUCAGGUCGUUACAUGCUUAUAGCACACCUCAAGUCUAUUUCUUCAAAUGAUUACUUGGUCUAGUCUUAUAAGGGCCAUAAAUUAUAGAUCUUGUUCGAUAUGGCGCACCCCAAUCUAAUUAAAUUAGCCAUUUUCAAUACCUUUGAUAAUACCAAACCUUAAAGCCUUUUAAUAACUAAAACCUCAUAACUUGCCUUAAAAAAACUAAGCAUCUAUCGAUCUUCUAUAGCUCUGGAAUUACAGCUACAACCAAACUCAUCUUUUCACACUACUAAUUCAUUACAAAGGCUAAUAAACCCAUGAAAAUGGAAUUACGACUAGCUUUUCAUGUUCAUCAAAAAGAGAAAGUUAUCACAGCUUUCACAUACACAAACAUAACCAAACUUAGGCAUAGACGAUGAAUAAGGUGGAAUUCAAUAUCUCUACUUCUCAAAAUAAACAAAGCAAUCACCCAAAAUACAUCUCUGAAAAUUCAAGCGUAAAUAUGCAUUUUACAAUUUUUAGAAAGCCAAUCAAAGCAACAAUAUCAGCUAACAAUAAAAUAGCAAGAAGAAUGACCUUUGUGUUGACGGAUCUAAGUUCAUACUACAACACCUGGAUAAUUUUCUAGUGAAACACUCGUCGGCGACCUCGAACGAAAGCCUCACUAAUCGAACUCCCUUUUGAACCAAAAUUACAAGCAACAAUAACGACCAACUCGAUUCAAUCAAACUCUGUUUUGAACCAAAAUUUAGAAAAUAGAAAUGGAGUCGUUUUCUUUUCUUUCUUUUUUUAAUUUUCUGAUUUUGAAGUAAAUUGAGGACAUGAAAGAACCUAAUCUCUUUAUCUCCUUUCUGUCCAAUUAUUCCUCUCUCACUCCUUAUGUAUAUGCGGCAGAAAUUGGGAGUUGAAGGCUGAUAGUGGUUGAUCUUCGUGGUAUUUAAAGGCUGGAAGAUGAAGAAGCAGCAACAGCUCGUUGGUUAGGGGUGUGGUGGCGACAGACUAGUGGGAUGAGCGGCGGGCUUCUGGUUUCUCGCCGCUGGGUUUCAGCGAGUUGGUGAAGGGGGGAGUGGUGUGAGGAAGAUGAGGUCGAGGGGGCGGGUUCCUUUUUGAAAAUCAGUGCCG
rnacentral:lncRNA from 1 species